rnacentral:tRNA from 2 species
AGGCCCGUAGUUCAAUUGGUAGAAUGACGGUCUCCAAAACCGUUGGUUCCAGGUUCGAGUCCUGGCGGGCCUG